rnacentral:rRNA from 3 species
AAAUUGAAGAGUUUGAUCAUGGCUCAGAUUGAACGCUGGCGGCAGGCCUAACACAUGCAAGUCGAACGGUAACAGGAAUCAGCUUGCUGAUUUGCUGACGAGUGGCGGACGGGUGAGUAAUGUCUGGGAAACUGCCUGAUGGAGGGGGAUAACUACUGGAAACGGUAGCUAAUACCGCAUAACGUCGCAAGACCAAAGAGGGGGACCUUCGGGCCUCUUGCCAUCGGAUGUGCCCAGAUGGGAUUAGCUAGUAGGUGGGGUAAAGGCUCACCUAGGCGACGAUCCCUAGCUGGUCUGAGAGGAUGACCAGCCACACUGGAACUGAGACACGGUCCAGACUCCUACGGGAGGCAGCAGUGGGGAAUAUUGCACAAUGGGCGCAAGCCUGAUGCAGCCAUGCCGCGUGUAUGAAGAAGGCCUUCGGGUUGUAAAGUACUUUCAGCGGGGAGGAAGGGAGUAAAGUUAAUACCUUUGCUCAUUGACGUUACCCGCAGAAGAAGCACCGGCUAACUCCGUGCCAGCAGCCGCGGUAAUACGGAGGGUGCAAGCGUUAAUCGGAAUUACUGGGCGUAAAGCGCACGCAGGCGGUUUGUUAAGUCAGAUGUGAAAUCCCCGGGCUCAACCUGGGAACUGCAUCUGAUACUGGCAAGCUUGAGUCUCGUAGAGGGGGGUAGAAUUCCAGGUGUAGCGGUGAAAUGCGUAGAGAUCUGGAGGAAUACCGGUGGCGAAGGCGGCCCCCUGGACGAAGACUGACGCUCAGGUGCGAAAGCGUGGGGAGCAAACAGGAUUAGAUACCCUGGUAGUCCACGCCGUAAACGAUGUCGACUUGGAGGUUGUGCCCUUGAGGCGUGGCUUCCGGAGCUAACGCGUUAAGUCGACCGCCUGGGGAGUACGGCCGCAAGGUUAAAACUCAAAUGAAUUGACGGGGGCCCGCACAAGCGGUGGAGCAUGUGGUUUAAUUCGAUGCAACGCGAAGAACCUUACCUGGUCUUGACAUCCACGGAAGUUUUCAGAGAUGAGAAUGUGCCUUCGGGAACCGUGAGACAGGUGCUGCAUGGCUGUCGUCAGCUCGUGUUGUGAAAUGUUGGGUUAAGUCCCGCAACGAGCGCAACCCUUAUCCUUUGUUGCCAGCGGUCCGGCCGGGAACUCAAAGGAGACUGCCAGUGAUAAACUGGAGGAAGGUGGGGAUGACGUCAAGUCAUCAUGGCCCUUACGACCAGGGCUACACACGUGCUACAAUGGCGCAUACAAAGAGAAGCGAUCUCGCGAGAGCAAGCGGACCUCAUAAAGUGCGUCGUAGUCCGGAUUGGAGUCUGCAACUCGACUCCAUGAAGUCGGAAUCGCUAGUAAUCGUGGAUCAGAAUGCCACGGUGAAUACGUUCCCGGGCCUUGUACACACCGCCCGUCACACCAUGGGAGUGGGUUGCAAAAGAAGUAGGUAGCUUAACCUUCGGGAGGGCGCUUACCACUUUGUGAUUCAUGACUGGGGUGAAGUCGUAACAAGGUAACCGUAGGGGAACCUGCGGUUGGAUCACCUCCUUA